CCCAGACUCCUACGGGAGGCAGCAGUGGGGAAUAUUGGACAAUGGACCAAGAGUCUGAUCCAGCAAUUCUGUGUGCACGAUGAAGUUUUUCGGAAUGUAAAGUGCUUUCAGUUGGGAAGAAAGAAAUGACGGUACCAACAGAAGAAGUGACGGCUAAAUACGUGCCAGCAGCCGCGGUAAUACGUAUGUCACGAGCGUUAUCCGGAUUUAUUGGGCGUAAAGCGCGUCUAGGUGGUUAUAUAAGUCUGAUGUGAAAAUGCAGGGCUCAACUCUGUAUUGCGUUGGAAACUGUAUAACUAGAGUACUGGAGAGGUAAGCGGAACUACAAGUGUAGAGGUGAAAUUCGUAGAUAUUUGUAGGAAUGCCGAUGGGGAAGCCAGCUUACUGGACAGAUACUGACGCUGAAGCGCGAAAGCGUGGGUAGCAAACAGGAUUAGAUACCCUGGUAGUCCACGCCGUAAACGAUGAUUACUAGGUGUUGGGGGUCGAACCUCAGCGCCCAAGCAAACGCGAUAAGUAAUCCGCCUGGGGAGUACGUACGCAAGUAUGAAACUCAAAGGAAUUGACGGGGGCCCGCACAAG
rnacentral:rRNA from 1 species